ensembl:lncRNA
ACAAGAGGAGGUCAACUUGGAUGUCAAAGAUAAAAAGAAUGUGUUGGAGGACAAGCAAAAAAUUGAAGAUGACAGAAAAAGCACAGAAGAUGUGGAACAAGAGAGAGCUCAAAAGAAAACAAACAGACAGAAUGAGAAACCAGUGAAGGAAGACCAAAACUGGUUGGAGGAGGAAAGUAAUGUGAAAGACAUGGGACAUGCAGAUGAAAAGACAGAAGGUGAAAGUAAGGUAUUGGAGACGGGGAAAGAAGGUGAUCAGACUGUGGAAAAGGAGUUUCUGAAAGACCAAGUACAGAUAAAGCCCUCUUCUAAGGAAGUUGUAGACUGGACAGACGUCAAGGAAGCGGAGAUUAAAGAGGAGAUCCACAAUGAUGUGUGUGAGGACCAUCAGGACAUUACAGUGACCAAAUCUGUUUUGAGGGACUCCAAAAAUGAAGACAGUGUCACCCUGAAGGACUGUAAGACCAACUCGGCAUACUUUCCUCUCAAAGUUUCCUCUCUUGAUGAAGCCACAGUAGCAACAAACACUGGGGUUGAGACUAAAGAGCUGAUCCAAAAUUAUGUGGCUGAGUACCAACAGGACAUUACUGUGACUGAAUCUAUUUUUAGUGACCCAAAAAUUAAGGAUGAAGAUAUUUCGCUUAAGGACACUAAGACCAACUCUGCAUGCUUCCAGGAGAUUACAGUUGGCCAACAAACACUGGAAGAGAGAAAUGAGAAGGACAAAGGGCAAAAUAGACUAGAAGAAGAGAGAAAGAAGAUGGAGGAGCAAGAAAAGAAAUGGGUGGAAGAGGAAAUAAGAAAGGGAGAGAUGAUCAUAAUGGAGGAGCAAAUGAAGAGAGAGGAAGAGAAAAGAAGGGUGGAGGACGAAAGAAAGGAAGAGGCUGUGAGGUUGGAGAUGAACAGAGAGAGAAUGGAGGAAGAAAAAAAGAUGAUGGGUGCAAACAAUGACGAUAAUCUGUUAAGGAUUCAGGAAGAGGAGAGAAUGAGAGCUCUGGAAUUAGAAAAGAGGAACAGAGUGACAGACGAACAGCUAACAGACACCUGGACAGAAGCAGUGAAUUUAGAAGUGACAUACUCAGAUGAUGAGGACUGGAUAGACUCUGAACGUGAUAAUGAAAUCAAGAUCCAGACAGAUGAGAAGCAGCAGGACCUUGAGAGUGAGUUGGAGGAGAGCAUUGAUAAAGAACUGAGCCAUGGAGAGCACAGUGACAUAGAGAAUAAACUGGCAGAGAAAGAGGUUGAGAGAAGCCCAACUUCUAUGGCAGAGCAGUCUGGAAAAUCAUCAGUCCAAGAUGAAGAACACUUGCGGAGCCCUGAAGUGACAGCACAUGCAAACCCACAGCAUACUCAAUAUAUGAAGUCACCAUUGCCAGAUCUCUCAUCUCCUACAGAAAAUAUGGCAUCACAAACCCUACCUCCACGACAGGAUAAACUCACAGAUUCAGUGGAUGGGGAAACCUUCUGUGAAAAGCAGGAAUAUUCAGAUUAUGACGGUGGGACGGAGUCUGAGAAGUUGAACAAUGAAGGUAAGAUCCAGAAAGCUCAAGAGAUCCAGACGGAGGACAUUGACCACAAGUCUGAGGACAGCAUAGUUGAAGAACUGAGCCAAGAUGAUCAGAGUGACAUUGACAUUGAGGCGGUACAUUUAGUGGAGGUUGAAAGCAACAUCAGCAGCUUCACAAAUAUGAGGAAACCAGCGGCAUGCGCAGCAGUACUGGAGGACCAGUCUGGGCAACAGUCAGCAAAGCCAAAAGACAUGGCAAAGGAACAGAAGGAUGGUGAUAUGAAGGCAGAAAUAUUUAGGGUGGAAGAACAAGGGAAGAGAGUUCAAGAAAACAGCCAGAAGCAUAAUACAAAACAGGAGCAAGAGACAAUGAAGUUAAAUAUGGGCAGAGAAAGAAUGGAAGAAGAGAUAAAGAUGAUGGAUGCAGAACAUGAUAAAGCCAAUAUGUCAAGGAGACUGGAAGAGAAGAGUAUGAGUGCUCUGGAAGAAGAAGAGGAGAAGAGGAGAGUAAAGGAGGAAGUUGAGACAGAAAUGGUGAAAGGACAUCCCUCCCCUGCAGAAAAGUUAGAGUCUGAUGAUAAAGUCUUGAUAGUCCCUGAAGAAUGUGAAAAAGAAGGAAAGAAAGGCAGGAAUAAAGGCAAGGAGAUCCUGACGGAGGACAAAGAACCUAUGAUGAAGCCCGAAAAGACAGCACAUGCAAAUUCAGAGAAUAUUCUACUGAAGUCACCUUUACAAGGAGAUCACCUCUCUCCCAUUGUGGAAAAGGUGACAUCAAAACCUUUGGCACCAUUACAAGACAUGGACAAGCAUCAGCUACAUGAUGGUUCUAAGGCAGCAAUGGGGACCAUGAAGAAGCAAAAUAAAAAGGCAAAAGACACAAGAAAAAGAAACAAAGAGGCUAAAAAAAGGAAAGACGAGGUAAAAAGAUUGGAAAUGGACCGGGACACAACGGAGAAAGAAAAAGAGAAAGAGAAAGAGAAGAUGGUUGAAGAAAAAAAGAAAGCCGAGCUGAUUUGGAGACUGGAGGAGGAGAGACUGAAGGCUUUGGCAGAAGUGACAGAAACAGACAUGGCAAAGGAACAGAAGGAUGGUGAUAUGAAGGCAGACAUAUUGUGGGUGGAAGAACAAGGGAAGAUAGUUCAAGAAAACAGCCAGAAGCAUAAGACAAAACAGGAGCAAGAGACAAUGAAGUUAAAUAUGGGCAGAGAAAGAAUGGAAGAAGAGAUAAAGAUGAUGGAUGCAGAACAUGAUAAAGCCAAUAUGUCAAGGAGACUGGAAGAGAAGAGUAUGAGUGCUCUGGAAGAAGAAGAGGAGAAGAGGAGAGUAAAGGAGGAAGUUGAGACAGAGAUGGUGAAAGGACAUCCCUCCCCUGCAGAAAAGUUAGAGUCUGAUGAUAAAGUCUUGAGAGUUCCUGCAGAAUGUGAAAAAGAAGGAAAGAAAGGCAGGAAUAAAGGCAAGGAGAUCCUGACGGAGGACAAAGAACAUAUGUUGAAGCCUGAAAAGACAGCACAUGCAAAUUCAGAGAAUAUUCUACUGAAGUCACCUUUACAAGGAGAUCACCUCUCUCCCAUUGUGGAAAAGGUGACAUCAAAACCUUUGGCACCAUUACAAGACAUGUGCAAGCAUCAGCUAGAUGAUGGUUCUAAUGCAGCAAUGG